GACGAACGCUGGCGGCGUGCUUAACACAUGCAAGUCGAACGGAAAGGCCCUGCUUUUGUGGGGUGCUCGAGUGGCGAACGGGUGGGCAACACGUGAGUAACCUGCCCUUGACUUUGGGAUAACUUCAGGAAACUGGGGCUAAUACCGGAUAGGAGCUCCUGCUGCAUGGUGGGGGUUGGAAAGUUUCGGCGGUUGGGGAUGGACUCGCGGCUUAUCAGCUUGUUGGUGGGGUAGUGGCUUACCAAGGCUUUGACGGGUAGCCGGCCUGAGAGGGUGACCGGCCACAUUGGGACUGAGAUACGGCCCAGACUCCUACGGGAGGCAGCAGUGGGGAAUAUUGCACAAUGGGCGGAAGCCUGAUGCAGCAACGCCGCGUGCGGGAUGACGGCCUUCGGGUUGUAAACCGCUUUCGCCUGUGACGAAGCGUGAGUGACGGUAAUGGGUAAAGAAGCACCGGCUAACUACGUG
rnacentral:rRNA from 1 species